ensembl:lncRNA
AUUUUUUUCUGAAGGACUUUAGAAAUUAUUGUCGGCUUGUCAACUAACGGUAAACCACCACCCGCCCCCCCCCCGAAACACACACACCAGGUAUCGGCCUUCUAAAUUUUACAGCGGUUCUCUGUUUAGUUCCUAUCACAGUUCUAGCUCGGCCCAGCAAGUACUACUUUCCCAGUUUAACAGAUCUGGAAACAGCCCGGAGAGAUGAGUUGACAGCCCACCCCUAGAGCUAGUGGCAGAAUUUGAAACCUGAAUCUCAACUGAAUCCUUCCUCCGCUCCCCAUCGCCCACAGGAUAAAACAAAUUAAUCGCGUUGGCUUUGGAGGCCCUCCGCGAAGUGACUAACCUGUAAUCCCAACUGUUUUUAGCCCACGGUACUCUGACCCAAAAAGCAUCUUUCCCGCCCCAUCUCUUCUUUCCUCAAGUAUCCCCUGACAACUUCCUGAACCAGUUUUUCCCUCGCUCAGCGUCUACUUGGUUUCUCGGUACAUUAUGUAUCCCACCCCCUUCCUGCCGAUUCCAGACCACAUUUCCACUCCAGCAGUUGAAUUGAGAGAGAUGGGAGCCGCACCCGCCAGGUCUGGAGAACAUCGAACAACUCAGAUGCCCUCAGAUCAUCCUUUUUCAGGAUCCUUCUGGCCUCUUCAAAGAUCAUCAGUUUUGGAAGAACCAUUCCUAAAUUUCCACUCGAAAGCAGUCCUUGUCUCCCUUCUCAUUCUCAAUAUUAUUUUCAAAUUAGAGGACAUUCUUCUUGCCCCGCACUUUGAAAAUACGAUUUGAUGGUAGCCUAGCUUUUUACCAUCUCUUCUGUGACUGGCAUUGAUGACAGCCCUCUUUUAGUCACACGUCUAAAGGAGACUGUCUCCUUCCAUUUCUAGAACAUCAAAUAGCUCAUUGAGGGCUUUUGCAUGCUUUGAGGAAACUGAGACAUAACCAAACCUGUCACUGGGAAAGCCUCAGUCUCAUAGGGAGCAAACCACAGUCAUUGGGCCGUGUGCAUACAAGCUACAAAGGACAUUUAGCAGGUAAGAUCUUUUCCUUUUCUUUGGUAAGAGUUCAUAGACUGAUCAGAAUUUGCAAAAACUUACGCUUGCACUGUCAAAUACGCAGACAGAUGAGCAGAGGCUCCUUCGUAUUUGUAUAUCAUCAACGCUUUAAAAUUGUUUCCUGAAGUUUCAUUAAAAUCCUCACAGAGGGGCGCCUGGGUGGCACAGCGGUUAAGUGUCUGCCUUUGGCUCAGGGCGUGAUCCCGGAGUUCUGGGAUCGAGCCCCAUAUCAGGCUCUUCUGCUAUGAGCCUGCUUCUUCCUCUCCCACUCCCCCUGCUUGUGUUCCCUCUCUCGCUGGCUGUCUCUAUCUCUGUCAAAUAAAUUUUUUAAAAAAUCUAAAAAUUAAAAAAAAAGUUAUAAAAAAAUCCUCACAGAAAUCAGACCAUUUGAAACUCCACUUUUCAAAUCAAAGUGCUUGUGAGGCAGGAGAACAUUCCCUUAUUGCCAUGAUCGGACUCAGCGCUUGGCAUACUGUAGAAAGUGUGAUUGUGGGUAGCAUCUGACAGAAUCAGCUGUACAUACUGUAAAGGGCCAACACAUCUGUUAUCAAAAUUUCACCUUUGGCUCACCCACAGGAUAUCUCAGGUACAGCGUCUGAAUGAGGAACUGGAACUUUACUCAGUGUCACAGCACAAUCAAAGGAGCGAUACAUUCACCCAUGCCGUUGCCUGUGCUAACUGAGCGGCCACUAAUUUGAACCGAGAAUUGGUGGUGUAGGGGGAGACCGAAAAAUAAAAAUAAGUAAAUAAAUAAAACACAAACACACACACACACACACAAAAACACCUUUUGAUUAAGUUAGAAGUACUUGCCCAUUUCCUUGAGGACCUGUGAGAAUCCGUUUCCUCAUGUGCUUUUACAUUGCUUUGCUCGCCGUGCCGGAUCCUCAGUUCCUCUCUGCAUACGGCGCAGUAGGCCCUUUGUGACGAUUUACCUCCCUAAUACGAUCCCUUGCAUGCGUUCCCCGGUGGCCACCGAAUAGCACAGUCGUUGAGCUUUCUGAACGGCCGUGACGUCCAGUUCAGGAGGGCAUUGGUGUUGUAGUUCGGCUCCUGUUCACCAUCCGAACUCUUAGAAGAACAGGGCCGCAAUACGCAUCAUGUUAAAAGCUGAGCUAGCACUCACAAGCUACCAAGCACAACAGCUAACCCACAGCAAAGCGGAUGUUAGCACUCCAGAUUACAGCAUGCUGACGUCAUCGGGUGGUGUGAUAAUGGAUGAUGCACCAGCUGCCAAGCAUGGCUGUCAUUGUCAGCAGCAGGACCCAGGGAAAGUCCUGGGUCCUUUUGGUACUAAAACUAGUGCUGCUGGGGCGCCUCGGUGGCACAGUGGUUAGGCAUCUGCCUUCGGCUCAGGGCGUGAUCCCAGUGUUCUGGGAUCGAGCCCCACAUCGGGCUUCUCCUCUAGGAGCCUGCUUCUUCCUCUUCCACUCCCCCUGUUUGUGUUCCCUCUCUCGCUGGCUAUCUCUAUCUCUGUUGAAUAAAUAAAUAAAAUCUUUAAAAAAAAAAAAUAAAUAAUAAUAAUAAAAAAAAUUAGACCAGUGUUGCUUUCAGCCCCUCUUUUGGGGGUCACCUUUGUGUUUUGUACCUUUCCCUUAACCUUCUGUACCUGUCAGUGAAAACUGGGAGUUUUCUCAUCCCAGGGUAGAGUUUACCAGAUGUAGGGCUUUUAGUGCUAAAAUCAGAACAGUCCCAGACAAACUAGGAUGGUCGGUCACCCCAGCAUAUGCUUGUAGAAUCAAGAAAUAGAUAAAUACUGUAUGAUUUCACUUACAUGUGGAACCUAAAAGUGUAUGAGUUCACCAUAGAUUCAAAAACAGAUUAGUAGGGACGUCUGGUUUGUCUGCCUUCAGCUCAGGUCAUGAUCCCAGGGUCUUGGGAUUGAGUCCUGAAUCAGGCUCAUUCCUCAGUGGGGACCUCCCCCUGCUCUCUCUGCUUGUGCUCUCUCUCUGUCUCUCUCUCUCUGACAAAUGAAUAAAUAAAAUCCUUUAAAAAACCCACACAAACAAAUUAGUGGUUACCAGAGGUCUGGGAUGUGAGGGAAGGUGGUCAAAGGGCACAAACUUCCAGUUAUAAAUAAGUUCUGGGGAUGUAAUGUGCAGCGUGGUAAUUAUAGUUAAUCAUUCUGUAUUGUAUUUAUGAGAGGCAUGAAGACAUCACAUUUAAAAAUUCUCAUCUCAAGAAAAAAAAUUGUAACUAUGUGAGGUGAUGGAUAUCAACUAUACUUAUUGUGGUAAUCAUUUUGCAGUAUAUACAAAUAUUAAAUCAUAUUGUAUGCCUUUAUCUAAUACAAUGUUAUAUCUUAGUUUUAUCUCAAUAAAACUGACAAAAAUAAGUCUCAACAUAAAACAAUCAAUUGUAUUUCUAUAUACUAGCAACACACGAUUAUAAUUGCAAUAUGUAAAAUGUUUACAAUAGCAUACUAAAAAACAUAAAAUAAGUAGGGAUAAAUUAAACAAAAUUUGUUCAAGAUCUAUAUACUAAGAACUACCAAACAUUGGGGAGACAAGUUAACAAAGACCUAAAUGGGAUUACCAGGCUAACAGAUCAGAAGACCCACCAGUGAGAUGUCUCUUCUCUCCAGAUUGUUCUAUAGAAUCAACUCAGUCCUAUUCAAAAAACCAGCAAGCUUUUUUUUUGUUUUAAAGAAAUUGAGGAGUUGAGUCUAAAAUGUGUAUAAACAUACAAAGGACAAGGAUGCCUGGGUGGCUCAGUUGGUUAAGCAUCUGUCUUCAGCUCGGGUCAUGAUCCCUGCUUUCCUAGGAUCUGGCCUUCAUUGGGCUCCCUGCUCACCGGGAGUCUGAUUCUCACUCUCUCCCUCUGCCCCACCCCCAACUCUUUUGCGCAUGCUCUCCCUCUCUUUCAAAUAAAAUCUUUAAAAAAAAAAACCCUCAAUUUUUAAAAACAGGGCAAGUAUUGAAAUAGACACAUCACCAAAGAGGAUAUACGAAUGGCAAAUAGGCACAUGAAAAGAUGCCUGGCAUCAUUAGUGAUUGGGGAAAUGAAAUGAGAUCCUACCGCACACCUAUUAGAAUAGCCAAAAAUAACAAAAUAAAACAAAAAAACCGACCCUGCAAGUGCUGGGCAGAUGCAGAACGACUGGAACACUCACAUUUUGCUUGUGGGAAUGCAAAAUGGUACAGCCACUUUAUAUAACAGUUUGUUUUUGUUUUUUAAUAAAAGUUAAUGUACUUACCACAUGACUCAGCAGUCCCAUUCCUAGAGACUUGCCCAAGAGAAAUGAAAACAUAUCCACACAAAGACCUGUACAUGAAUGUUCCAGAAGCCCUAUUUAAUAAUAGCCAAGAAGUGGUGAAUGGGUAACCAGUUGUGGUACAUCCAUAUGAAGGAAACUACUCAGCUAUAGAAACUAUUGAUUCACACAUCCACACAGAGGAACCUCAAAAACUUUGGUGAGUGAUAGAAGCCAGUCCUAAAAGGCUACAUACUGUAGGAUUCCAUUUACAGACCAUUCUAGAAAAAGCAACAGCAACCAGAUCAAUGGUUGCCAGGGUAGUGGUGGGGCACAGGGGAAAUUUUGAGGGUGACAAGAAUGUGGCACAAUCAUAAUUGUGGUGGUGGUUACACUACUACAUAUAUUUCUAGAACAAACAGA